rnacentral:rRNA from 1 species
UACGUAGGGGGCAAGCGUUGUCCGGAAUCAUUGGGCGUAAAGCGCGUGUAGGCGGCCAGAAAAGUCCGCUGUGAAAACUCGAGGCUCAACUUCGAGCUGUCGGUGGAAACUUUCUGGCCAGAGUCCGGAAGAGGAGAAUGGAAUUCCUGGUGUAGCGGUGAAAUGCGCAGAUAUCAGGAAGAACACCCGUGGCGAAGGCGGUUCUCUGGGACGGUACUGACGCUGAGACGCGAAAGCGUGGGGAGCGAACAGG